UCAAUUCAAUAAAUACUGACAUACGACUGUUGACAUUUCGCACACAUUUAAUAUCAAACUUUGAUAUUUUUUAUUCCGUGAUAUAUAUAUAAGGCGUGGAAAUGGACAAAAGUCAGACAAAAAGACCCAACUAUAAAUAACGCGGUACUACUUAAAGCACAAUGCUCCAAUUACUUAAAUAAGAUGAUUCAUGAUUCAUUAAUUAGCCAAAGUAAGAGAAAUAUCUAUUUAUAACAACAAUAUUUCAGAACAUGUUUUUAUUCAGUGUUAAAUUACAACACAUGUGUUUUAUAAACAAAUACACUUGUAUAAAGUAGCUUUAGCUAAAUAUAUCGCCUGCUUGACUUCUGUUUCAUUAUGCUGUUAAGCUACUUCAAAUGUAUAAAAAAAGGAGUGUUAAAAGCCUCCGAAAAAUUACAUCAUUAGUUUUUGCAAAUCUCCCAUCAAAGAAGCCAAACUGCUACGACAAUUUCCUUCAGGUCAUAAUGUGGGCAUCAAGAGUGAAGCAUAUGAAAAUCUCGGGGAAAUCUCGGAGGUGUUAUUUCAGCUUGAUGGAGGAAGUGGCCACUUUAGUUACUCACUUACGAGCACUUAUCCCUUUCAUGUCAGAUCAGUUUUAGUGACCCAGAUAAACCUUUUGUUAUUCGUUCAGCUUUUCUACGUGAACUGAUUUCGAAAUAAAUAAAUCAAUUGAAGGUGUCCUUAUAUAGUAUAGUGGACACAGCUUGACCCCGAUGGUUGACCUUUGUAUUAUAAUACAUAAUGAGGCACAUCCUAUUAUUGAAAAGGAGUAACGUAAAACACGAGCUGUAUGAGAAAGUGGAAAUAUAAAUCUGUGCAAUUAUAAAUUAGUGUAUUGGAAAAUUUUAACUGAUCAAAAUUGUAAGAUGGGACUAUUUUUCACCAAAUGAAAACCAGAUGCAGUAUUUUCACGAGCGGCGCAGUCAGGAGUGAAAAUGUAAUAUAUGGUGCUAGCGAAUGCCUCAAGACUUUACACCGUCACAAUGUCUUCGUUGAAAAAAGGUUUGUUGGAAUGUUACAUAUAACACCUUAGACGACAUUGCUUAUACCUACACCGACACUGCGACAGUGCCUAGCAACAACAAAUUCGACAACUGCUAGUAUACCAAUGAUCACUACAGUCCCAAGAUAAAUGUGAGCAAAUAAUGUAGACAAAUAUUGUCUUUGUUGCAGCAUACAAGAGACUGUCGAAAUACAUGUAUUGACAAAAAGACUGAUUACAAGCAUAAGGAGACUAUUUACGACCGCAGUCACCGCACAAGUAAAAUUGUCGUGAAAAAAACAAAACAAUUUCAACACUGAUCAAGAAUUUGAUUCAACAUAAACACGGUGACAAAGCAGUACCUAGCAAAAUUGUGUUACCGCCACAUCCCCAUCACAAGGUUACACAUACAACGUUGUCAAACGUGUUCUUCUUUACAUAAUUAGAUACAUGCACUUACUAAAGGUGAAAUAUUAUGCAUCAUUGCCAAGAUACAUCAAACAAGCAAUCUACCAGAGUAUAUGUGCACUGUUAGACUUAAUUUCAAAGUUUGUAUUGUUCUGGAAGCAGACAGUAUGUAAGCCAUUCAACAGGCAUGCGGAAGGACAGUUAUUGUAACUGGUUACCUGCCAGUUCGAAAAAUACUGACCAGAUUAACAGAUUUUUCUAUCAUUAAUGCAGCUUGAUGAAAUUAAACUGAAACAGUGUGACUAAAACCCUUAA